UACGAAGGGGGCUAGCGUUGCUCGGAAUCACUGGGCGUAAAGCGUGCGCAGGCGGCUGCUCAAGUCAGAGGUGAAAGACGGCCGCUCAACGGUCGCAGUGCCUUUGAUACUGGGUAUCUUGAGUGCAGACGAGGUCUGUGGAAUGGAUGGUGUAGCGGUGAAAUGCUUAGAUACCAUCCAGAACACCAAUUGCGAAGGCAGCAGACUAGGGUGCAACUGACGCUGAGGCACGAA
rnacentral:rRNA from 1 species